rnacentral:rRNA from 1 species
CCUACGGGAGGCAGCAGUGGGGAAUCUUCCACAAUGGGGGAAAGCCUGAUGCAGCAACGCCGCGUGAGUGAAGAAGGAUUUCGUUUUGUAAAGCUCUAUCAUCAGGGAAGAAAAUGACUGUACGUAAUUAAGAACCCCCUGCUAAUUACGUGCCAGCAGCCGCAGGAAUACGUAGGGGGCAAGCGGUAUCCGGAUUUACUGUGAGUAAAGGGAGCGUAGACGGCAGUGCAAGUCUGGUGUGAAAGGCGGCGGCUCAACCGACGGACUGCUCUGGAAACUGGACGGCUGGAGUGCAGGAGAGGUAAGUGGAAUUCCAAGUGUAGCGGUGAAAUGCGUAGAUAUUAGGAGGAACACCAGUGGCGAAGGCGGCUUACUGGACUGUAACUGACGUUGAGGCUCGAAAGCGUGGGGAGCAAACAGGAUUAGAUACCCUAGUAGUC